GUGCUCGCUUUGGCAGCACAUACACUAAAACUGGAACAAUACAGAGAUUAGCAUGGCCCCUGUGCAAGGAUGGCAUGCAAAUCCGUGAAGCGUUCCAUAUUGUU